rnacentral:lncRNA from 1 species
GGCAGCCGGGGGUCUUCAGCACGCGGGAGAGGUGCUCAUCCAGGAUGGCCUGGGGGUCCUCCUCGUAGCUGCCAGAUGGCAGGAGUGAGAGGGGGUGCUGCUGGUGCUGGGGGUUCACCAUCUCCCGACUGCUCUGCAGGCUGGCGGGGAGCUCCAAGCUUUCCUUCUCCUCAUCCUCCUUGAUUUGCUGCAGCCUCUCCUCCAGACUGUCCAUGGUUUCUUGCUCCUGCUUCAGCUUCUCCAGCCGGGAAAUGAGCUCCGCAGCAAAGGCAGCCGGCUCCACCGGGGUCAUCUCCUUGGGAAGGCGGUGGGUCCUCGGAAAAUGAGGUAGAGAAACUUGACCGUUGGCCUUAACACUGCGAUGCAUUUCUCUCUGGAGCUGCUUCUUGCUCCCAAUUCUGUACGGGGGGAUCCCAUCUACACUGCUGUCUGUCAUUGACAUGG